AAGAAGUGGAUGAACCGUAACAUGUGUUCAUCACAUAAUAUCAUCAUAACAACCUUCCUUUUGGCAGGGGAGGGGCUAUUUUAGUUACGACCUGAGGCACAACGAGCAGGAGGAGUUGGCCAACUGGAGUGCUAGAUUCAGGGCAAGUUUGCCAAAUCACUUUUAUUAGUUCCGUUGAUAAUACCAGGACUGGAGAACUGAAAGCCCUUGUAGAUGCAAGAGGUGUGCUAUUAAACCAAAAAAUUAAGUGCACAACAUAAUACUAUUACAUAGUUCACGUGGUCGAUUUUCACAUGAUUUCGAACUUCCUAAAUCGGAUUUCUUUUUGCAGGAACAAGAUUGACAACGGCCUUUUGCAUUGCACUCUUGAUAAAGCUUCAAGCUCAAGGCCUUCGAUAUUUGUGAAGUUUUCCAGGAAGAAGAUUGACUGUAGCAUCUUGGAGUGCACUAAUAUUAAUAAAUAAACCCUUCAAUAUUUUUGUCGCCCAAAGGCUACAAGUUCUGUAAUUUACCCAAAUACUUAGC
rnacentral:lncRNA from 1 species